rnacentral:misc_RNA from 1 species
UUUCGCAACUUCUUGCAUAACCCUAAUUUGAUCCUCUAACUCAGCUAUCUUCGCUGCUUUAGCCAAGUCCUGAGUAACUGCUCCAGAUCUUGUCAUCUUGGCAGUUUCUGAAUCCACAAUUGGAAGAUCAAUUCCUCUCGCAACCUUGGCAGUUACCAGAUCUGCAAUUGGAAGAUCAAUCCCUCUUGUAGCCUAGCUCUGAUGCCAGAAUGUUAGAUAUCUGCCUGAGAUCACUCUGCUGCAGAGAACACAGCAGAAUCUGAAACAG